AAAAAUAACCUUUAGCAUAGCGCCACCAUCUUCCUUGAACUAACCUACUCCGGGCCACCCUCCCCUGCCGCUGCCAGCCCCCUACCCGACCACCCCACGCCGCCGUCUGCAACCCAUCCAUCCCCAAGAGAGGUAGUUUGAUUCUGUCUGAUUUUGAUGACCUCAAAAUCAUCAAAAUCCAAUUUUUUGACUCUAGGCAAGAUUGGUACUUGGCGAUAGUGCUGCAAAAGUGCGUUUUCAGUACAGAACAGAGAAUCAAGAUAGCAUCACUGCAAUCAGGUUAUGGGAUUUGAAUCUUCCAUUUAUUGUUGAUAAGUUAUUUGACAAAUAUUAGUGGGAUGGAGGUUGAGGAAUGGGCAAGUUCUUCAGGUGGAACAAGUGAUUCUGAGGUCUGUGUGCCGGACACGAAUGAUGAAGAACAUUACUUUACAUCUGGUGAUACACCCAAGUUGCAGUUUAGGAAAAAUAUUUCAAGGGCCCAUUGGGAUGAUGAGAUGGGAAUGGCUGAGGUUGUUGGGAAGAAGGGUAGCAUGUGGACAACAAUAGGAAUAGUUCGCAGCAGCAAGAUCUAUUGCUCAAUUGAAGAGACUCUGUUUUUGGCUGAAAGAGGUGAACUAAGUCUCUUAGAUGCUGAUGAUAGAUCAGUUCCCUUAAAAGAUAUAUAUAAGAAGGUUGCAGAAGGAAAGAGCGGAUGUUGUUGGGAGUCAUUUGAAGUCUACAGGCACUUGAGGUCACUGGGAUACAUUGUUGGGCGUCAUGGUAUCCCUUGGACUGUGAAGAGUAUUAAGAAUAAGCCUCCUUCUGUUGAAGGCACACUGGAGAUUGAACUGAUAAUAGAUCAGAAAUUUGAAGACCUAAAUCUCGUCAACGAGCUUUUCAAUAAUAUAAGGAUUGAUGAAGUCAGACCUGUAUUUGAUGUUUACCCUCCUAAUAGCAAAUUUAGAAAGUCCUCUCCUGGCAAUCCAAGUUUCGUUCUCUGCAUGACCAGUGGGCAUCCGCCAUCCAAGCCAGAGAUUGAAGACCUUGAGAGACAGUGUAAUGGCAUUCCUUUGAAGUUCUGUCAUGUUGAGUAUGGACGUGUCAGUUUCUUCUCCUUUAACAGGGUGGAGCUCCCUGUCCUUCCUUGACAUUCCUGUUAUGCUGGAGUUACACAUUGUUGUGAUUUGUCUGGACUUCAAUCCAAUGCAAGGAAAGUUGAUUCAUCCCACUUCAAUAAAUGAAUCUAUCUGGUUAUGUGAGCAAUGAAUGAAUCCAAUUCCAUGCGAGAUACUCCACCUUCCUCCACUGCCUGCUGGGUGGCACCACCCAGUUCCUCCGCCCUCUUCCUCAUCUCCUCCCCUUCUGUUGAUGUGAUUAGCCUUUUGGCAGCUUUUGCAAUGGUUGAUGAAGCCACCACCUCCUGGUGUGCUGCACGUUGCUUAACAACCACACCAACUUUUAAUAUGUCUGUUACCAGAACUGCGUUCUUGGGUUGAUCCGAGUGCAUCGGCCAGGCUGCUAUCGGCACUCCCAUGAUGAUGCCCUCCAGGCAUGAAUUCCAUCCACAGUGACUCAUGAACCCACCUGUUGAUUGGUGUGCCAAAAUUUCAAGUUGAGGUGGGUGCCCAAUCUCUCACCACCAGUCCAACUUCUUUAACUCUCUCUCCAUAACCUUCUGGUAGUGCUUCAGCUCUCUUGACAUUGCCUGCAAAAAUGUCUCCUUUAUUGGCAUCUCUAAACACUCAAAUGAACUUUUGUCCACUCUGUUCCAGCCCCAUUGCGAGCUCUUUGAUCCGUUGAUCUGUCAUCGAAGUUGUUGUUCCAAAUGAAACAUAUAACACAGAAUAUGGGGCUUGUUUGUCAAGCCAAUCCAAACAUCUGUGUUGCCUAUUUGAGUUUUUGCUGCCAUUUACUCUUCUCGAGGUCAAUGGCCCAAUCGCCCAUAGCUGCUUGUCUUCACGAAUCUGUACCUUCUUCAAUAAAUCAAUGUAAGUAUCUUCGAUUGAUCUGCACGAGUUCAUGGUAGAUCCGGAUGUAAAUUUCAGAAAAUUAAUUUGGAGGGUGAUAAAAUCUAGAAUCUCGGAAGGGUAACAGACUUCAAUAGAUGGUAACCCCUGUGGUUCAUCUACCUGGAAUGAGUUUCCCAUCAUUUGCCAUCCUUCAAAGAAACAAGCGAACGCACUAAUGGUGGUGAAAGAAUAGGAUUCUGAAUUUGGUGUGGUAGUGAUGUCCGGGACCACAUAAGCCAUGAGGGCAUCGUGGACAACUAUAACUUUUCUAGCCGUGGAAAAUUUUGUGUAAGAGUUCGGUCAUGGGGUCACGGAGAUGCAAAGAUGCUUCGAAGGAUGGUUGGAGAUGUGAUGGAAAUUUACACAGGGUGUUGGGGUUGGGUGGAGGAGAGAGGAAAGGAGGGGUAGGGAACCCAUGGAAAUUGAUUUGGGCAAAGGAAAGGCGGUUUGUGCCAUUGAAGCGAAGUUUAGCCUGGUGGACGUGGGUGGCGGAGCAGGCGUAGUGGGCAGGGAUGUUGUAGGAGGAGAUUAGGCAGGAGAGCUGGAGGAGCUGGUUGAGGUGGCUUUGGCAUGGAAAAGGCACCAUGAUUACGACCACUUGAGCUUGUUUGGUGUCAUGGCUUGGCUGUUGGUCAUGAACAUCCAUGGAUGAUUAAAAUUUCUGAAAGAGUGGUUCUCAAUCUCCUCUCUGUUUGAAAUGAGUUGGUUCUUUAUAUACGAAUUUGCAAUCAGAACCGGCACAAAAAUGACACAGAACACUCAUAGAGGUCCAUGCUUAGUGUCCUACGAUGUUUCUGUGGCACGAUUUCUGUGUUCAUCCUCUGUACAUACAAAGUUGAAGAUGAUGUCUUAUCCAUGAUUCAUAUUCAACGAAGUUCACUCUUUUCUACAGGCAGCUCAUUUCUUUGUCUGAAAAUAAUUUCGUAAGCAGUUAUGUGUGCACAGAAAAGUACAUAAAAAAAAAGGGGAUCGGAAUCAGAGAACUUUUGAAUGAGAUCUCUCAGAUUGGAUCCAAUGAGGUGUCAGAACAUCACCAAAAUCAAAUUCAAAGGUUUGCCAUUUCUUCUUUACUGCAAUGUUUGAUUCUUUAGUAGCUUUUCCAUUUCAUUUUUUUUUUUUGGGUUGUGUACUAGCAAGCAGUUAACAACGGACUAACUAAAUGAUAUUAUUAUUUUGUCUUAGAUCAAUCAUAUCAAAAAAUUUGUGCUUUCAAUUUGCUGAUUUCACACUUCUUUCACUAAAAUAUUAGCAAGUAGGUGUAUGUCAUUUGGCAUCAUCAUUCUUUCUUUUUUUCCUUCUAGAAAUUGAAAAGUGAUUUGUGAUGUUUAAAUUGUCUCCUUAUUUUGGUAGAUGAUGUUUUUACUUCUUUUGUUGAGGACAUCUUGUCCUCUUUGUACUCUUCCUUUUUAUUUUUUUUAUUUUUUUAUUUAUAAAUAAAAGUUUCUUUUGUUGCUGAUCAAAUUAAAAAAAUAAAAUAAAAUUCUUCUUAGACUUGUUCGAGUGGCCAGAACCCAAAACAGAGGCAAACUCAUAUGAAUUCUAUUUUUCAGUUUUCUUUCUUGUUUUUAUGGGUAUAUUACAUAUGAUGCCGGUAUCAAGGUGUAAUUAUAUUGGCCAAAUUACUUUAUUUAUAUUCCUAAAGAGGGAGAUUUUAUUGGACACACUAUCAUUCAACUAUACGAACUAGAACUGAUAUGUGAAAAUUGUUAGAGCCUACCACACAAUAAAUAGGGAUUUUUGUGAUAGAUCUCUCUUAAUUAGUUUUUCCGUGUGAAGGAUGGUGCCCGCACAACGCACAUGACAUUUAGAAAAAUACCCUUGUUUGCUAAAUUUAGUUUUCAAACUUUAAAAUGUCCUUACUUUUUUGAAAAAGUAGUUUUUUUUUAAAAUCAUCUUGUCAACAUUUAUCAAACAUGACCUAUGGUGAAUAUGAAAUUAUAUAAAUAAUUGACAAAAUUUCACUGCUCUUUGUUUUCUGACAAUAAAACUUCACUAUACAAAACUCGUGACGUGAUCCGUGAGUAAACUAUAGUCAAUUUAAUUGUAUAAUUACGUUGGGAUCAAUUUUCUUGAUGUAGUGGUUCGACAUUUUUAUAGUCUACUGCUCCUGUUAGAAAAUGAUCAUAUGAUACUUCCAACUAAUUGCUAUUUUUUUAUACUUAAUUUGCCUUCUUCCCAAUGAAAACUUGUUUAAAAUUAUGGCGUUAAGACAAAUCUUCAAUGUUGUAGCAACCCUAAAGACUGUUUUAUAAUGUACUCCUAGGAACCACAAUAUUGAACAAAAGCUCAGAAACCAUGAUAAUAAAAAUCCUCCCCAGAGCACCUAAAUCAAUGAUAAUAAGCAUAUAUUUUUAUGUACUAAGGCCUAGUUUGGGAAGACUAAAUAAGUGCACUUUUUGACUUUUUAUGAAAUAUGGGUUGGGUUUGGGUUGGGUUUGAAGUGAUGUGUUAGAGAAGUGAUGUGACUUAAAUAAGAUGAUGUGACUUAAAUAGGAUAAUGAUUUUUUUACUUUUUGUCUUUUUUCAAUCAUGCCAAACUUGGCCUAAUUAUUUUUCUGGUAAGCAUAUCUCUGUAGAUAUUUGUACAAGUAGCUAUUUUUAAAUCAGUCAUGCAUAUACUUAUGGGUACAUUAAUUUUGUAUACUACAUUGAUUUGGUGGUUGGUAUUUUUUUGUUUUCUUUCUGAGGAACAUUUAUUAUUUUGUAUUUGCUCAGAUAUGAAACCCUUAUUUCAAAAAGAAGUGAUGAGUUAAGUUCACUCUAACUUCGAAGAAUAUAUCUGGCAAGCACUUAUCAAUGUUUUGAAAUAUGUAGGAGCUUCACACUGGAAAUUUUACCAAACGAUGUGACAAUAGUAUUUUGAAGAUUAUAAGUCAUAAUAGUGAGUGUUUUGGUUUGAAAUAAGGAUCACAACACUUCGUACAAAAAUUAUGUUGGCAUAACACCAUCCUGAAUAAUACAAUACAUUAGCUUUCAGCUACACGAUCGUGUCUUGAGAUUUCUAUAUUUUGAGAUUCCCACUCUGUUAUACGGUUGGGAGUGCAUUGGGUACUAUAUUAGAUACAGAGGAUCUUGGCUUUUUGGAACAAUUGGGUUGAACGGAAUAUACGAUCUUAUAGGUGCUUUAUAUUUGCUUUAAAUGGUAGUAAAUUUUGCCAUGCAGACAAAGCAGAUUGCAGAAUGAGUUGUUCACUCAUUGUACACAGACAAAGAAAGAACACAAGAAUGUGAAUUAUAGCACUUGACUAUGCUUCUGUCAUAUCUAGUAAUAUGAUUUUGUUGAUCAAUUACUUAUUUUUAGAUUGUUGUGAUUCUGGAGAAGUUCUGAGCCACAUACCAAUGCAAGGAAAUCCAAUUCAUCCAGCGUCAAUAAACAAACCUACCUAGUUAUGUGAAAAAUGAAUGAAUCCAAAUUCCAUGCGAGAAAUGCCACCUUUGUCCAUUGCCUGCCAGGCGUCACCAACCAGUUCCUCCGCCUUUUUCCUCAUCUCCUCCCCUUCUCUUGAUGCUAUUAACCUUUUGACAACUCUUGCCAUGGCUGAUGAAGCCACUAUCUCCUUCUGGUUUGCCUCCCAUUGCUUAGCAACCAAACCAGCCUUCAAUAUCUCUGUUACCAGAAAUGCAUUCUUGGGUUGAUCUGAGUGCAUCGGCCAGGCCGCUAUCGGCACUCCCGGGGUGAUGCUCUCCAGGCAUGAAUUCCAUCUACAGUGACUUAUGAACCAGCCUGUCGAUGGGUGAGCUAAAAUUUCAACUUGAGGUGCCCAAUCUCUCACCAGUAGUCCAAUUCCUUUCACUUUUUCUUCAUAACAUUGUGGCAGUGCUUUAGCUCUCUUGACAUUGCCUGCGAAAUCUCCUUAUCGGCAUCUCUCAACACCCAGAUGAACUUUUGUCUGCUUUGUUAUUGCAAGCUCUUUAAUCUGCUGAUCUGUCAUUGAAGUUGUUCCAAAUGAAGCACAUUACAUGGAUUUUGGGGCUAGUUUAUCAAGCCAAAUCAAACAUUUGUGUUGGCUAUUUGAGUUGUUGGCUGUUUGAGUUGUUUUCUCCAAUAUGUUCCCUUUUCAUUAAAUCAAUGCAAGUACCUUUGAUUGUUCUGCAUGAGUUCAUGCCAGUUCCAGAUGUAAAUUUCUGAAAAUCAGAUUGGAGGGUUAUGAAAUUUAGGAUCUCAGAAGUAAGUGAACGUGCAACCGGGGUUGAAAGUGUAGGUUUCAGCAUUUGGUACUCUUGAACCACAUAAGCCAUGAGAAAGUCAUGGACGACGAUAACUCUUCUUGCCGUGGGGGAGAUUUUGUGCAAGAGUUCAGCCAUGGCGUCACGGAGAUGCAAAGUGGUUUCGAAGGAUGGUAGGAUAUGUGAUGCAAAUUGACUUGAGGCAUUGGGUGGAGGAGAGAGGAAAGGAGGGGUAGGGAACUCAUGGCAAUGGAUUUGGGCAAAAGCAUGACUGUUUAUGCCAUUGAAGCAGAGUUUGGCCUGGUGGAUGUGGGUGGGGGAGCAAGCAUAGUGGACCGGGAUGUUGUAGGAGGAGCUGGUUGAGGUGGCUCUGCAAUGGAAAAGACGCCAUGAUUACUACCACUUGAGCUUGUUUGGAGCUGCUCAUUAGGUCAUGGCUUGGAUGUUGGUAAUGAAUAUCCAUGGAUUAAAUUUUUUGAAAGUGUUCCCCCAGUCACCAAUCUGUUGGGUCUCGGAGUAGGUUUUUUAUAGCAUGAAAAAUAGAAUCAUAAUCUUUCUAGGAUUUGUGAUAGGAACACAAAAACUGUCACAAAAAGGACACAAACUCAGGUAUGCGGGUGUGCCGUUUCUAUUGCACAAAUGCUGUAUCCAAUAUUUCUAUGGAAUCUUCUUUUUAUCGUUAUUUUUAUUCAGAUAUUGAAUAAUGACAAUUCAAUAUUUGCUUUUAUUUUUAUGUUUUUCUGUCUCUUUC